CACGGAGUUAGCCGGUGCUUAUUCAUUCAGUACCGUCACACAGGGACGCAUCCCUGCUCUUCUUCCCGAAUAAAAGCCGUUUACAACCCUGAGGGCCUUCAUCCGGCACGCGGCAUGGCUGGGUCAGACUUGCAUCCAUUGCCCAAUAUUCCCUACUGCUGCCUCCCGUAGGAGUCGGGCCCGUAUCUCAGUGCCCGUGUGGGGGAUCAACCUCUCAGCUCCCCUAUCGAUCGUUGCCUUGGUAGGCCGUUACCCGUACCAACUAGCUAAUCGAACGCAUGCCCAUCUUCAACCAAUAAACUCUUUAACAAAUAGACCCAUGUGGGCCCCCUGUAUUAUGCGGUAUUAAUCCGGGUUUCCCGGGCUAUCCCCCAGUUGAAGGUAGGUUGCAUACGCGUUACGCACCCGUACGACGGUGACAUUGCUGCCCCUCGCCUUGCAUGUAUUAAGCCUGCCGCUAGCGUUCAUCCUGAGCCAGGAUCAAACUC
rnacentral:rRNA from 1 species